rnacentral:rRNA from 1 species
GAUGAACGCUAGCGGCAGGCCUAAUACAUGCAAGUCGGACGGGAUUCAGGAGCUUGCUUCUGAUGAGAGUGGCGCACGGGUGCGUAACACGUAUGUAACCUACCUUUAUCAGGGGGAUAGCCUCUCGAAAGAGAGAUUAAGCCCGCAUAAAAUCACAGCACAGCAUUGUGUAAUGAUCAAAUAUUUAUAGGAUAAAGAUGGGCAUGCGGAACAUUAGCUAGAUGGCGGGGUAACGGCCCACCAUGGCGACGAUGUUUAGGGGAUCUGAGAGGAUGGCCCCCCACACUGGUACUGAGACACGGACCAGACUCCUACGGGAGGCAGCAGUAAGGAAUAUUGGUCAAUGGGCGGAAGCCUGAACCAGCCAUGCCGCGUGCAGGAAGACGGCCCUACGGGUUGUAAACUGCUUUUAUACGGGAAUAAACCCAGAUACGUGUAUCUGGCUGAAUGUACUGUAAGAAUAAGGAUCGGCUAACCCCGUG